rnacentral:lncRNA from 1 species
AUGUGUUUCUUUAAAACCUUCCAUCUCCUCUUCUUCCUUUCCCCCCUACUUUCCCUUUUCCCAGUGUUUGUAAGGUUACCGAAGAAACAUGCAUUUAAACAGUUCAGGAAGAACUUAAGAAUCCAUCUGUCUGCUAAGAGUGAAUGGGUGAGGAAGAAUUUGCCACACAGAGGAAAUGUUUUAGAAUUCCCUCUUAGCCUUGAAGUGUGUGGAGGAUUCCAAGAAGCGUUUCCUGUACGGCGGAAAAGCCUACGGUAGACAACCUUAGCUCGCUAACGCAAGGAUGGUGUUUAGUCAGCCUUUACUAUGCAGUGUCUCUGUGAGAGCACCUUCUCCACAGCCACCUUCAGAAUAGGAUUGAAUCCUCAGCUGAUCUUAGUUCCUGUUUUAUGAAAAAUGGAGUUUGAUAUUCGUUGUUUUGAAAACCAUAGUUUCAGUUGCCAAAUGCGUGCUUUUUUUAAGGUGCAGUGGAGAAGAUGAGAAACAGGUGGGAAAGUGUUCUGAAUUGUUUCGCAAACUAAAAUGUAUAUAUUCUGCUUAAAAUGUCCUGUAUAUUUUUUAAGAUUAUAAGGGGGAGGGGGGCAAAAAUGCGAAGGAAGGAAUGCYGAAAACUUUGGCAUUACAUUUUCAGAACGAUUUAUGGUUUUUUGUGCAAAAGGUUAUUUGAGAAAAGAUUAUGCAACCUAGAAUGCAUAUUAAGCAACUAUAAUUUCUUACUGGAAACAUUUGGUAAUACUUUCAAACAAUUUUUUAAUGAUAGGAUAACUUCUAUAUUGGAAAAAUCUCAUUUUCUAGUGUUAGAAAUGUUUCAAAGCUGUUGAAUCAGUAGUCUACGUUAAUUUUAAUUGUUUUAUCUGACACUUCCUAUACUUCUAAAUAACACAGCAGUAUUGGUGAAAUUCAGUAUUCAAAAGUGCUUAAUYCAUAUGCUUCUGAACCAUUUAUUUUGAGAAUGUCUUGGUUUUUUGGUGUAGAAUACCCAAUAGCUCUGUGACCAUCAUAAAUGUGCAAUUACUGCUGCAUUAUUUUACAGUCAUUAUUGUUUCAACUUACAUUCCUAGAGCUGGGCGAACCRUUCAUCAUGGAAACACAGACUGAUUUGAGCCUUUUUUCUGUUCCUCAGUUAUCUCCCCGUUAGACUUUUCUUUUUUGCAGAAACUCGUUCUUUGCAAAACCUGUUUUUUUUCUGCAGAUGUUUUUAUUGUUGGUUGUUUUGUAUGUUCUUUGUUUCUAUUGUUUGCUUUCAGUGGCAUGAUUUGUCUGGUUUCUGCUCCCUGUUUCAAUGACCUAAUUUAUAAGCAGGAGGAAAGAAUGGAUGCUCGUGGCUGUAUCAACUCUUGCCAUUGAUCGUCUUAGAAACACAUUUGCACCUGUAUUUGCAGAGCUUCUGCUUUCCACAGAUUUUUCAGAUUUUUCCUUCAGCUAAAUACUGCUCAUGGAGAUGUCAAAAAUAACUCAAUAGAGAGACCUCGUGUGCUGUCCAAAGCUUCUGUGGCUUUCGUUAAAAUGAAUGUUCUCAUCUCUCUGAAGUAUUCGCCUUGCUCUAGCUGUUGCCACGCUAUGAUGUGGUUUUACAAUAARUAUAUACAAUUGUCAUCACUGUAGAUCCAAUUUUUUAUUGUUGUUUCCAGGAUGUAUAAAUGCAUGGACAUGAAUAAAACCUGAGGGGCCAUGGGCA